rnacentral:rRNA from 1 species
GCCUACAGUCACUGUGGUCUGGAUAUGCCUGAACCUGUCUGAUAUCAGAAACUAAGCGGAGCUGACCCUGAUCAUUGUCUCCAUGGGAGACAAGUAGGAAAGUUGCUCUGAAUUCU